CUGAUACUUGUGCAGAACGGUUAUGUUGAUGAGCCACGAGGUUUGACCAGGUAAAUGUUGUCACUGUGACACAGUACAAAUUAAGGCACAUAGAAACAUUGUCUCCUGGAGGAAGAGCUUUCAAAGGACAUAAUGAGGAACGAGGCUGAGAGUCGGGACUUGAGGAAAGGGGUGACUCCUCUCUGGUGCCUGGAACUACAGCUGCUUCCACCGGGGUCAGAGCAGACAAAGGAGCAAUCCGGUGGAGGGGAAGUCUGGGAAACCUCAGCACCUCAAAAGGUCAAAACCUCACCCUACCUGCCUCUCUCCCCCUUCCCCACUGCCGAACAUCCCUCAUCCUAAUUCAUUUCUCUAAACUCCGUCAGUCCCCACAGAUCAUCAGUUCUUCGAGUUGGACAUCGAUUGAAGUUCUAGCCACAGAAUACCAGUAACAGCUUCCCUUUAAAUAGAAAACCAGGUCAUAUUCCAACUAACCUGUCCAAUCCCGCCCCCCCCUAAAAAAAAGCAACUGUAACCCAGUCUGGUCGCAUCUGCACUCUCUUAAUGCAAACAGUGGGAAGUCCAUCAGGAGACAGUGGAGGUGAGGGGAGGGUGGGGGGUUGCAAAAUCCACAGAUCUGAAAUUCAUGUCUGCCUGUGGUGUGUGAUGGAAACUGUGGACGGGUAAGAGCUGUCAAUUAGGUCAGAGAAACCCAGUGUUGUGUUAAUGCGACGAGGAAGCUGAGAAGAUCUGAAGAAAUCGAUAAAAAAAAUGUUGAGAUAAAUUAAAUUGCGCCAGACUGAUGAGAAGCUCACUUCGUCCAUAAGCACAUUGCGUCUGUGAAAAUGGAGCCUUGGGCAGUGCAAGGGCUCAGAGUCCGAGAAGCUUCAUAUUCACAGACAGUGUUGUAUCACCCAACUGCACAUCUAAGAGAGGAGAAGGCGAAGGAAAGACAGAUAUUGCAACAGUUAUUAAUCUUACAACAGCCCAUGUUGUAUCUCAGUAUUCGAAAGUGUUCAUCAGAAACAUGAGGGAUCCCUGCCAGUGUCCUGGUUCAGCGUCUCUCAUUUCCAAGAACAAAUUCAAACAGGCUAAUUAGAAAUUGUAGAAAGACUUCACACUUCCAUAAUUAUUGUUUCGGUCCAUAUUCAGACAACAAAACACCUCAGUUUCCAUGCACCACUGACUUAGUAUAUCUCUACAAAUUGCUUGCAAAAUUAUUCUUCAAUGUUCUUCAUGCUGCUUCCCAAGGGAACAGAAACAGCUGUGGAAUUCUCACACCUAUUUAGAAACAUAGAAAACCUACAGCACAAUGCAGGCCCAUCGGCCCUCAAUGUUGUGCCUAACAUUGAGUAAUGUUAGUUACUUCAGAAAUUACCUAUGCUUACGCAUAGUCCUCUAUUUUUCGAAGCUCUAUGUACCUAUACAUGAGUCUCUUAAGAGACGCUAUCGUAUCCGCCUCCACCACCGGCAGACCAUUCGAAGCAUUCACCACUCUCUGCGUAAAAAAAAAUUAUCCCUGACAUCUCCUUUUUACCUGCUUCCAAGCACCUUAAAACUAUGUCCUCCCUUGCUAGCCAUUUGAGCCCUGGGAAAAAGCUUCUGACUAUCCACACUAUCCGUGCCUUUCAUUAUCUUGUACACCUCUAUCAGGUCAUCUCUCAUCCUCCAGAGAGUUCACUCAACCUGUUCUCAAAAUGCAUACUCCCUAAUCCAGGCAACAUCCUUGUAAAUCCCCUCUGCACCCUUUCUAUAUUUUCCAUAUCCUUCCUGUACUGAGGCGACCAGAACUGAGCACAGUAAUCCAGGUGAGGUCUGACCAGAGUCCUAUGUAGCCGUAACAUUACAUCUCAAUUCUUAAACUCUGUCCCACGGUUGAUGAAGGCCAAUGCACCGUAUACCUUCUUAAUUACAGAGUCAACCUGCGCAGUAGCUUUGAGUGUACUAUGGACUCGGACCCCAUGAUCCCUCCGAUCCUCCACACUGAUGUUAUAUUUUGCCAUCAUAUUUGACCUACCAAUAUAAACCACCUCAGGCUUAUCUGGGUUAAACUCCAUCUGCCACCUUGCCGCCCAAUUUUGCAUCCUAUCGAUGUCCCGCUGUAACCUCUGACAGCCCUCCACACUAUCCACAACUCUCCCAAGCAUUGUAUCAUCAACAAAUGUAUUAAUACAUUACUCCACUUCCUCAUCCAGGUCAAUGAUAAAAAUCACGAAGAGUAAGGGUUCCAGAACAGAUCCUUGAGACACAAAACUGGUCACGAACCUCCAUGCAGAAUAUGAACCACCUACAACCACACUUUGUCUUCUGUGGGCAAGCCAAUUCUGGAUCCACAAAGCAAUGUCCCCUUGGAUCGCAUGACUUCUUACAUUCUCAAUAAGCCUUGCAUGGGGUACCUUAUCAAAUGCCUUGCUAAAAUCCAUUAUCCUCUACAUCUACUGCUCUACCUUCACCAAUAUGUUUAGUCACAUCCUCAAAAAAAUUAAUCAGGCUCGUAAGGCACGACAUGCCUUUGACAAAACCAUGCUCACUAUACCUAAUGGUAUUAUGCCUCUGCAAAUGUUCAUAAAUCCUGCCUCUCAAUGUCUUUUCCAUCAGCCUACCAACUCCUGAAGUAAUAUUCACUGGUCUAUAAUUUACGGGACAAUCUCUGCUCCCUUUCUUGAAUAAGGGAACAACAUCUACAAACCUACAAUCCUCUGGAACCUCUCCUGUCACCAUUGAUGAUGCAAUGGUCAUUGCCACAGGCUCAGCAAUCUUCUCCAUCGCCUCCUGCAGUAACCUGGGGUGCAUCACAUCUGGUCUCGGAGACUUAUCCAAAUUGAUGCUUUCCAAAAGCUCCAACACAUCGUCUUUCUUCAUGUCCAUAUGUUCAAGCUUUUCAGUUGGCUGUAAGACAUUCUUGCAAUCACCAAGAUCCUCUUCCAUAGUGAAUACUGAAGCAAAGUAUUUAUUAGGAACCUCUGCUAUCUCCACCAGUUUCAUACUCACUUUUCCAUUGUCACACAUGAUUGGUCCUAUUCUCUCAUGUCUUAUCAUCUUGCUCUUCACAUAUUUGUAGAAUGCCCUGGGUGGUUUCCUUAAUCUUGCUCGCCAUGGCCUUCUAAAGGUUCCCCUUCUGGCUCUCCUAAUUUCAUCCUUAAGCGCCUUCCUGCUAGCCUUAUAAUCUUCUAGGUCCCUGUCAUUUCCUAGAUGUUUGAACCUUUCGUAAGCUUUUCUUUUCUUCUUGACGAGAUUUUCAACAGCUUUUGUACACCACGGUUCUUGUACCCUACGCACCUAUGCAGAAUGCCAUGCAAAUAUUCCCUGAACGUUUGCCAAAUUUCUGCCAUACAUUUCCCUGAGAACAAUUUAUGAUUCCAAGUUCCUGCCCGAUUACUUCAUAUUUCACCUCAAUCCAAUGAAAUGCUCUCCUAACUUGUCUGUGCAUACCCCGCUCCAAUGCUAUGGUAAGGGAGAUAGAAUUGUGAUCACUGUCUCCAAAAUGCUAUUCCACUGAGAGAUCUGACAAUUGACCAGAUUCAUUUCCCAAUACCAGAUCAAGUACAGCUUCUCCUCUUGUAGGCUUAUCUACAUAUUAUAUCAGGAAACCUUCCUGAAAACACCUAGCAAACUCCACCUCAUCUGAAACCCUUGUUCUAGGGUGAUGCCAAUCAAUAUUUUGGAAAUUAAGAUCACCCACCAUGCCAACCCAGUUAUUCUUGCAUCUUUCCAGAAUCUGUCUCCCCAUCUGCUGCUCGAUGUCCAUGUUACUAUUGGGUGGUCGGUAAAAAAUGCCCAGUUCCUGUUUAUAACUUCCACCCACAGAGACUCAGUAGGCAAUUCCUCCAUGACUUGCUCCUUUUCUGCAGCCGUGACAUUAUCUCUGAUCAGCAGUGCCACGCCCACCCCUUUUGUCUCCCUCCCUGUUCUUUCUGAAACACCUAAAGCCUGGCACUCUAGGUAACCAUUUUGGAACAUGCAAUAGAUACUCCCCUGGAUCUUUGAAGGACAACUUUUGUACUAGUUUGCCAUUCUCUAAUGUAACUGUAAAUGUAAUACAAUCCACGCUUUCCUAAACACGAGGAGUGAAGCUGGUAAAAGGAGCCUCCUGAACACACUGCACUACCUGUUUGAGUCUCAGAAUCGUGGGCUGGCUCAGGCCGCACUGGAAUCUGUGGAAACACUUUCAUUCAGUAGAAUGACACUGACCCCGAUUGACUGCGCGGUCCUCUCUCAUGUCAUCGGACUCUGUGAUAUGAUAAAACAUAUCAACCUAGUUGGCUGCCACAUUCAGUGUGAAGGAAUCCAGCGGCUGGUACCUGGGCUGCACAAAUGCCAGGAGUUGGGACUUGGGAUGAAUAAACUGGGAGAUUCAGGAGUGAAACUGCUGUCUGCAGCUCUGAGGAAUCGAGAGUGUAAAAUACAGACACUAUGGCUGAGCAAUGUCGGUCUCACAGCUUCUGGUGCCGAGCAUCUUGCCUCCGCUCUCAGUACAAACCCUUCACUGACGAAGCUGAACCUGAACGAAAAUGAACCAGGAGAUUCGGGGUGAAACUGGUGUCUGAGGCUCUGACGAACUCGGAGUGUAAAAUGCAGAAACUGUGGUUGUACAAGGUCGGUCUCACUGAUGCUGGUGUCGAUGAUCUCGUCUCCGCUCUCAGUGCAACCCAAUCACUGGCAGAGCUGGAUCUGGGAUCAAACUCGCUCACAGAUCAAUCUGUCCCCGCUCUUCGCCGCCUCAUACUGGCCCUCCCGAGUCUGGAGCGGAUCUGGCUGUGGGACAAUGGGAUCAGUUGGACCGGGGAAGAGGAACUGAAGUCUCUGCAGGAGCUCAGAUCCGGACUGAGUCUGAUACUGUGAACAUCUGAAUGUGUGCACAUCCCCACCCACAGUUUGACAGACUCUCCGCCCACCCCCUCCCCCGCGCCUUUAAUGGCCGCGUGACAGAUUUAAUUCCCAAAGUUUCUAACGGAUCCCGUCUCCAGCAGCGCGCUCUGUGACGUCAGAGUCAGUUCCAGAGGACGUAAUUCCACCUCCGGAUCAGCGGAACAGCCUCCGAUGUAUGUUCAGUUCGGAGAGCUCCCCCAAGCGAUGCCCUGGGUAAUUACACAGACAGUAAGAGCCCGGAGGCAGUGCUCAUGGGACACCAGUCCCGGGAUGGGGUAAUCCGGGGAGUGAAUCCUUUUGCUCACUUUGCUGAGGACGGUACAUUCCGCAGUGUGGCCGAAAUAAUAAUGUUAAACUGACAAAUACCCACAACCUCAAAUUGAAAAACAAACCGUACCUCACAUGUCCUUUAGAAUUAUCCCCAUCUGAUCUUAAAUUCAUGGCCCGUUCUACUUGAAAUUUCAACCCUGAAGAAAAGAUACUGUGCCGCUCAUAAACUCAGAAACAUCAGUCAGAUCUACUCUCAGCCUUCUCCGCUCCAGAAAAAACAGUCGCAGUUUGUCUAAACUCCCGUCAUCGCGCAUGCCCUCUAAUCCAGGUAGCAUCCUGGUUAACUUUUUCAGUAUCCUCUACAAAGACUCGACAUCCUUCCUCUAGUGGGGCCACCAGAGUAAAUGCAUUACACCGGGUGCGACCACACUUUGUUAAACUCUCCACCUUUCUUGUAAUACCAUGAGCACUUACCUUAUUAAGCAGCCUUAUGUGCCGCACUUUAUCAAAUGUCUUCUGAAAAUCCAAAUAAACAAUAACCACUAACUCUCCUUUGUCUGUAUUUGCUGUUAUUUCCUCAAAAACUGCAUCAGGAAAGCGAGAUUUCCCUCCCAACCACAAUCUCCUGUCUUAUCUUCGUAUCCUUUCAUGCUCUAACUAAUCAAGAUUCUAUCAACCUCUGCCUUAAAUAUAAGGGAUAACCUGUCCUCCUUAGCCAUCUGUGGCAAAGUAUUUCACAUAUUCUCCACGCUCUGAGUAAAUAUAUUCCUCCUCAUCGUUCUAAGUUGAUCUCCUCCAGCCCCCUCUAUUAGGAGGCUGUGUUUUCUGGUCUCAGACCUCUUCCAUCCACCUCCAUAUCAUGAGAAACAUCCUCUCUACAUCCACUCUAUCAAAGCCGUUCAACAUUCGAUAGGUUUCAAUGAGGAUCCCAAUCAUUCUUUUAAAUUCCAGUGAUUAGCUUCCCAAAGCACCAAAACCUCCUCCUAUGACAAGCCUUUCCAUUCCGGAAUCAUUUUCGUGAAUCGGUAAAUGAAACAGUGUAACUUGGCAAACACCAUGCCUGUUCCCUCAAACUCUCACGGACGCUCUCAAUGUCUGGUUAGAAUCACUGAGCACAGCAGUAAGAGUGUAAAUAACUGGAGAGGGCUUUGGAGGUCAUUCUCGAGUGGGAGAUAUUAGUGGCCAGUGUUGGAGUAUUUAAGUUAAGGAUAACAGAAUGACAUGGUGGAAUAGUGGUUAGGAUAAGCUUUAAGAUUGUGUUUCAAUUCCGGCCACUGUCCGAAAGGAGCCUGCACACUUUCCCUGUGGGAGCUUCCUCUGGCUGCCUCGGUUUCCUCCCACAUUCGAAAGACACACAGGUAGGGUUACUGAGUUGUGGAUAUGCUGUGUUGGCGCCGAACGCAUGGCAACACUUGCGAACUGUCACGGCACCUCUCCAACGCAAACAACGUAUUUCUCUAUAUGUGUCAAUGCACAUGUGACAAAUACGGCUGCUAUAGUCAUUGUUAUCUCUGUGGGGGCUAAGGGCACAGGAAAUGCAUACACUCGCCCAAGUCCCAACUCCCUCUGUCACCUCGGUCUUGUUUGUCACUAUUACUCAAAGCUCUCGCGUGGCUUCUCACCUCAUGUUGUCUCAUGUCUCUGAUACAGGGAGUCGAUCAAUCACAGUCUAUCAGCUUCCUCUAACACACCGGACAUUAGUAAGGCUGUGGGCUCUGACAAAUUAAACUUUAAUGCACAAUGAGUGUUGAAGAGCAUCCACGUGAUCUAUCAAAAAGAGAUCAAAAAUUGAUCACUUCUGGAAGUAAACUUCUUUAUAUUGAGCCUCAGCAGAUGGGCAAGAUUGUAAAUCAAUAUUUAUCCUGCUUUUUUUUUCAUUGUAGAGAAUCAUGCAAAACUUAAAAUAGUCAAUGCAAAUGGUUUUGUGAUAGUCUACAUUAUAGCAGAGGAGGUGCUAAAUAUCUCAAAAUGUAUUGAGAAAUCUCCAGGCCAAGAGCACUGUUGGAAUGGAGGGAAAUGGGAGAGAACUGGCUGAGAUGUACGCAUCACUAAAAUAGGUGAUGUGGAAAACAGUUAAUGUGGUAUCGGGAUUUGCAGAGAGAUCUUGAUAUUCUCUUUAUGUGAUCAAACGAAUGGCAGAUGGAGUAUAAUUCCGAUUAGUACAUGUUAUUUCAUUUCGUCAAUAAUUGAGAAUAGGACUUCCAGGAGGCUGAGGAGGUGAUAGACAGGACAUAGAGUCACAGGAAAGUAUAGCACAGAAACAGGCUGUUCGCCCCAUUGAGUCCAUGCUGAACCACUUAAAGUGCCCACUGCCAUCAACCUGUACUGGGACCAUAGCCCUCCAUACACAUACCAUCCGUGUACUGAUUCGAACUUCUCUUAAACGGUGAACCGAGUUCAUAUGCACCACUUGUGCUGGCAGCUCAUUCCACACGCACGCAACCCUCUGAGUGAAGAAGGUUUCCCUCAUGUUCCCCUGAACAUUUUCACCACUCACCAUUAACCUAGACCUCAAUUGUAAUCUCACUCAGCCUCAGUGAAUAAAGCCUGCCAGUAUUUAUGCUAUCUAUACCUCUCAUAAUGUUGUAUACCUGUAUCAGAUCUCCUCCCAAUCUUCUAAAUUCCAAGGAAUAAAUUCCUAACCUAGUCAAUCUUUCUUUCUAAUUUAGAUCCUCCAGAUCCAGCAACAACCCUGUAGAUUGUCUCUGUACACUUUCACCCUUACUUACAUCUCUCCUACAGGUCAGUAGAUCAAAGUUGCACACAAUACUAUAAGCCAGGCUUACACAACUUCAACAUAACAAUACUUUGAUUUAUGAAGGCCCAUCUGCCGUUGUAUUCCCAGAUUGCUUUGUUCUACCACAAUCUCUAGUGCCCUAUUGUUCACUGUGUGAAACCUACCCUUGUGAGGACUUCAGGGUUACAUACCUUCUGCCUGAUAGUAUCUGUGAGAAGAUGGCAUGGUCUUGAUGUUUGAUGAUAGACGUUGCCUUCUUGAAGUAGCACCUCAUGUAGAAACUAGUGACAGUGGGGAGGGGUGUGUCUGUAAUGUAUUGGUCUGAGUCAUCCAAUCUCUACAGCUCCUUACAUUCCUGAACAUUCAUACUGCCUUGUACAACUUUAUUUUUGGACCAUUCUCUCUCAACUCAAGCGAUUGUCGUGCAUGAAAAUCCCAGCACGUCAGCAGUUUCGGAGAUGCUCAGACUGCCCCAUGUGGCACCAACAAUUAUUUCACCAUCAUACUCUUUGAUCACUUUCUUCCCCAUUCUGAUGUUCGGUCUGAACCUUUUCACCAUGUUUGCAGGCACUUUUGCAUUGAGUUGCUGACACAAAAUUUGCUGUUUAAAUAUUUGCAUUAACAAGCGGAUGUACAGGUCUACCUAAUAAAGUGGCAAAAGAAUAUGUGAAAAAACAGGACACUACGAGCAU